rnacentral:sRNA from 1 species
GAAUAAACCUUAUUGCAGCGGUUAUCCUUUUUGUUACAGCGCCAAUCAUCAUUUGCUUACGAUCACAAAAAGAUAGUAGCGGAAAGAAGGACUACAG